rnacentral:rRNA from 1 species
GACGAACGCUGGCGGCGUGCUUAACACAUGCAAGUCGAACGGAAAGGCCCUGCUUUUGUGGGGUGCUCGAGUGGCGAACGGGUGAGUAACACGUGAGUAACCUGCCCUUGACUUUGGGAUAACUUCAGGAAACUGGGGCUAAUACCGGAUAGGAGCUCCUGCUGCAUGGUGGGGGUUGGAAAGUUUCGGCGGUUGGGGAUGGACUCGCGGCUUAUCAGCUUGUUGGUGGGGUAGUGGCUUACCAAGGCUUUGACGGGUAGCCGGCCUGAGAGGGUGACCGGCCACAGUGGGACUGAGAUACGGCCCAGACUCCUACGGGAGGCAGCAGUGGGGAAUAUUGCACAAUGGGCGGAAGCCUGAUGCAGCAACGCCGCGCGCGGGAUGACGGCCUUCGGGUUGUAAACCGCUUUCGCCUGUGACGAAGCGUGAGUGACGGUAAUGGGUAAAGAAGCACCGGCUAACUACGUG